rnacentral:rRNA from 1 species
UACGAAGGGGGCUAGCGUUGUUCGGAAUUACUGGGCGUAAAGCGCGUGUAGGCGGGUCCUUAAGUCAGGGGUGAAAUCCUGGAGCUCAACUCCAGAACUGCCUUUGAUACUGAAGAUCUUGAGUUCGGGAGAGGUGAGUGGAACUGCGAGUGUAGAGGUGAAAUUCGUAGAUAUUCGCAAGAACACCAGUGGCGAAGGCGGCUCACUGGUCCGAUACUGACGCUGAGGCACGAAAGCGUGGGGAGCAAACAGG